GCCCGGCCGGGUCCUCCCCUUCCUGCCGGCUGCUGGCUGCGGCCCCGGCUCCAGCGCUGCGGGACUCCGGGGCUGAAGCCGAACACCCUCGGCCCCGUGGUCUUCGCCCCGAGGUCCUCCCCGCCUCCCAGGACUCGGGGCUCCCCGAGGUCGCAGGGGGGAGGGGCUGCAGGUCUCAGGGUUCCUCCUUCGACUUGCCCGAACUCAGCUUUCAGUUGUGCAACGGGAGAGCGGGACCCGGGCGUGGCCCGGCUGCGCCUCGACCCUUCUCCUUAAACAGGUCUCCAGAAUUUUUGUUUUAAAGAUUUUACUUAUUUAUGAGAAACACAGAGAGAGAGAGAGAGGCAGGCAGAGACACAGGCAGAGGGAGACGCAGGCUCCACGCAGGGAGCCCGACGUGGGGCUCGAUCCCACGACUCUAGGAUCACGCCCUGGGCCGAAGGCAGACGCUCAACCGCUGAGCCACCCGGGCGUCCCUAUCUCCAGAAUCAAACACCUUUCCUGCAAUCUGCCCGGGUUUAGUUUGGAGAAGAAUUUACCAACUCAAAUCUGGCCCAAGCCUGGACCGUCUAGAUAAGGAAGCGGAUCACAAAAAACAAAUGGGUCCUGGAUUGAUCCUCUGAUUUUCUCACCCGCUCUCCAACAUCCUCUUUAUGGGUCUCCCAUCUCAUCCAAAGUUGGAAAGAAUUAAGGUACAAGAAAAAUGAAGAGUAAGAAAAAAAUAAGAAGCGUGACCUGAAUCUUCAAGUAUAUGGCAACAUAUUGGAAAAGAGAGGCUAACCUGAAUAAAUGAGAAGAGAACAGUUCAAGAAGACUCUGUUACGGAAAUCCUCAAAAGCUACAUCAAGAAUCUUAGACCUUCCCUAAUGUUAUUUUAUUAUACAUUUUGCGUUUGUUGUAAAAAUAAUUAAAACAUAAAUCAGGAAAAUAAAA